GGUAUUCUCUGGAAAUCAAAUGGCAAGUCUUUACAGAGGGCAAUCUAGGAAGGACAAUUACAAACCCAGAGCACGUCAUCAUGGGUUAAGUCAACAGAAGAGGCAAGAAAUUAGGGAAGCUUUUGAGCUAUUUGAUACUGAUGGCUCAGGCACUAUUGAUGCCAAGGAGUUGAAUGUUGCCAUGAGGGCGCUCGGUUUCGAAAUGACAGAAGAGCAAAUCAAUCAAAUGAUUGCAGAUGUGGACAAGGAUGGCAGUGGUGCAAUUGAUUAUGAUGAAUUUGAACAUAUGAUGACGGCCAAGAUUGGAGAAAGGGAUACUAAAGAGGAGCUCAUGAAAGCAUUCCGCAUUAUUGACCAAGAUAACAAUGGAAAGAUAUCUCAUGAUGAUAUUAAGCGAAUAGCAAAGGAGCUGGGUGAGAACUUCACUGACAGAGAUAUUCAAGAGAUGAUUGAUGAAGCAGACCGAGAUGGUGAUAGAGAAGUGGGUAUUGAUGAUUUCUUCAGGAUGAUGAAGAGGACAGCAUAUAGAUACUAGAUUGAAGUUCAGCAUGAUGACAACAGGUCCAUCCUAUGCGAAGGGUUUAUUUCUGGGCCUUCAGGCCAUGCUAUUGCUGUAAUAUGUAUGUAGAAAUAAAGUUUUUCUUUCCUUUGUUUUCUUUCCAAUAAUGAUUUAUGGUGUAACUGGUUUUGUUUACAUGUAUUAUCGUUACUGUGUUGACGAAUCUUAAUUGUUUUUU
rnacentral:misc_RNA from 1 species